rnacentral:rRNA from 1 species
CCGCUGAACUUAAGCAUAUCAAUAAGCGGAGGAAAAGAAAAUAACAAUGAUUCCCUCAGUAACGGCGAGCGAAGAGGGAUAAGCUCAAAUUUUAAAUCUGUUGGGUUCCGCUUAACAGAGUUGUAUUUUGAAGAAACGUUUUCUGCAUCCAGGAUUAGCCUAAAUCCUUUGGGAUAAGGUAUCAUGGAGGGUGAGAAUCCCGUUCAUGGUUAAUCUUAAGGAAGCUCUAUGAUACGUUUUCCAAGAGUCGAGUUGUUUGGGAUUGCAGCU